rnacentral:rRNA from 1 species
AUUGAACGCUGGCGGCAUGCUUUACACAUGCAAGUCGAACGGUAACAGGUUAAGCUGACGAGUGGCGAACGGGUGAGUAAUGCAUCGGAACGUGCCCGGUCGUGGGGGAUAACGCAGCGAAAGCUGCGCUAAUACCGCAUACGAUCUGAGGAUGAAAGCGGGGGACCGUAAGGCCUCGCGCGAUCGGAGCGGCCGAUGUCAGAUUAGGUAGUUGGUGGGGUAAAGGCUCACCAAGCCGACGAUCUGUAGCUGGUCUGAGAGGACGACCAGCCACACUGGGACUGAGACACGGCCCAGACUCCUACGGGAGGCAGCAGUGGGGAAUUUUGGACAAUGGGCGCAAGCCUGAUCCAGCAAUGCCGCGUGCAGGAAGAAGGCCUUCGGGUUGUAAACUGCUUUUGUACGGAGCGAAAGGUCUUCCCUAAUAUGGGAGGCUGAUGACGGUACCGUAAGAAUAAGCACCGGCUAACUACGUGCCAGCAGCCGCGGUAA